CCUACGUGAGGCAGCAGUGAGGAAUAUUGGUCAAUGGGCGGGAGCCUGAACCAGCCAAGUCGCGUGAGGGAAGACGGUCCUAUGGAUUGUAAACCUCUUUAGGCGGGGAGCCAUGCCGGGCACGCGUGCCCGUAGGGAGCGUACCCGCAGAAUAAGCAUCGGCUAACUCCGUGCCAGCAGCCGCGGUAAUAAGGAGGAUGCGAGCGUUAUCCGGAUUUAUUGGGUUUAAAGGGUGCUUAGGCGGAUUUUUAAGUCAGCGGUAAAAUGUCGGGGCUCAACCCGGGCCGGCCGUUGAAACUGGGGAUCUUGAGUGGGCGAGAAGUAUGCGGAAUGCGUGGUGUAGCGGUGACAUGCAUAGAUAUCACGCAGAACUCCGAUUGCGAAGGCAGCAUACCGGCGCCCGACUGACGCUGAGGCACGAAAGCGUGGGGAUCGAACAGGAUUAGAUACCCGAGUAGUC
rnacentral:rRNA from 1 species